GCUUACCAUACCGAAGAACACUUAACUUUUCUUCCUAUUGUCCACUCUCUCAUAUCAAUACAAUAACAUCCACGACAAUAAUUUUAGUACCGUGUAUAAUUCACGAACACACAAGUAUAUCCCAAACCUUGGAACGAACAACUUUCAAUCCACAGAAUCUAAUCAAGUCAAUUCUUUUGAUUACAAUUCUUCUCCACUAAACUUACAACCUUGCGAUAAACAGUGAUUAGAAACUUCCAUAUGUCCUCAAUCUUUCACAACAAUUGAUAAACAGUGAUCCAUAAAUAACUUCGUAAAUCAAACAUUAAUUCAUUAAAUCGAUUCUCUUCACUAGAAUCAACACUAACACAAAAGAAACAAGAAAACUAAGAAGAAGAGAUAGCACCAAGCUUAUCCCCGGCUCAGUACUAUUGUAGUCUAGCAUUUUCUUCCCCUCUCCCAUCCUCCUUAUACUACCCUCACAUACCAACUCCUAUACUACAGAUGAUAACUACUUUUCUUGACUAUUCAUCCAUUCUACCUGCUGAACCACCUUUUUAGCAGUUAUCUAUCCCUGUUUAUACUAUACACUAGGUAUCUACA
rnacentral:lncRNA from 1 species